UACAGAGGUCUCAAGCGUUGUUCGGAUUCAUUGGGCGUAAAGGGUGCGUAGGCGGCGCGGUAAGUCGGGGUGUGAAAUCUCGGGGCUUAACUCCGAAACUGCAUUCGAUACUGCCGUGCUUGAGGACUGGAGAGGAGACUGGAAUUUACGGUGUAGCGGUGAAAUGCGUAGAUAUCGUAAGGAACACCAGUGGCGAAGGCGGCUAUCUGGACGGUUUCUGACGCUAAGACGCGAAAGCGUGGGGAGCAAACAGG
rnacentral:rRNA from 1 species